rnacentral:rRNA from 1 species
GAAAGGCCUGCAGCUUGCUGCGGGUACUCGAGUGGCGAACGGGUGAGUAACACGUGGGUGAUCUGCCUUGCACUUCGGGAUAAGCUUGGGAAACUGGGUCUAAUACCGGAUAGGACAGCUGUUUAGUGUCAGUUGUGGAAAGUUUUUUCGGUGCAAGAUGAGCUCGCGGCCUAUCAGCUUGUUGGUGGGGUAAUGGCCUACCAAGGCGUCGACGGGUAGCCGGCCUGAGAGGGUGUACGGCCACAUUGGGACUGAGAUACGGCCCAGACUCCUACGGGAGGCAGCAGUGGGGAAUAUUGCACAAUGGGCGGAAGCCUGAUGCAGCGACGCCGCGUGGGGGAUGAAGGCCUUCGGGUUGUAAACUCCUUUCGACAGGGACGAAGCGUAAGUGACGGUACCUGUAUAAGAAGCACCGGCUAACUACGUGCCAGCAGCCGCGGUAAUACGUAGGGUGCGAGCGUUGUCCGGAAUUACUGGGCGUAAAGAGCUCGUAGGUGGUUUGUCGCGUCGUCUGUGAAAUUCCGGGGCUUAACUCCGGGCGUGCAGGCGAUACGGGCUGACUUGAGUGCUGUAGGGGAGACUGGAAUUCCUGGUGUAGCGGUGAAAUGCGCAGAUAUCAGGAGGAACACCGAUGGCGAAGGCAGGUCUCUGGGCAGUAACUGACGCUGAGGAGCGAAAGCAUGGGUAGCGAACAGGAUUAGAUACCCUGGUAGUCCAUGCCGUAAACGGUGGGCGCUAGGUGUAGGGGGCUUCCACGUCUUCUGUGCCGUAGCUAACGCAUUAAGCGCCCCGCCUGGGGAGUACGGCCGCA